rnacentral:lncRNA from 1 species
ACUUUUCGUUUUGUUUUUGCUUUUAAUUGCAUACAAAAGUGAUUUUUUCCCAAUUUGUUUUUGUAUUUAAUUGUUUAGUGAAAAUAAAUAAAUAAUAAUUAUAAAGAAAGCUUUAAUUGUUGUUUUCUAAAGUGAUAAUUGAAAGUGUUACCAAUUAAAAUAGCCGAAGAAGAAGAAACUGAAAAAAAGGAAUAAAAGUUUAAAAGUAGAAAAAAAUCUAGGAAAAGAAGAUUGAAAUAAAAUAAAAAUUGAAGCAACAGCAAAUAACCUGUUUUUAGUGCCUAUUAUCGUUUUCUUAAAACAAAAAGUAAAACCUAAAAAGUUUUAAUUUCAUUUUGCAAUUCUAUAUCAUUUGAAAGGCUUUUUUGAAGUGACAAAAACAUCAUAAAAAAAACAACUUAAACAAAUAAGUAUCAACAUUAAUAAGUCCAGUUAUUUACUGUUUUAAAGUGUCUUUUGGUAAAAAAAAAAUCAAUUUAUUCCUAACUAAAACAAAGUCUGCCUGCCAAUAUUUAAUUUUUUCAAUUCUCAAAUUAAAAUC